GCAGCGUUAGCCUAGUGGUCAUGAUUGCGGACUCGAGUUUCGUGGAAUCGUAGGUUCGAGCCUUCAUGCUACU